rnacentral:misc_RNA from 1 species
GGAAGUAAAUGUCGUAACAAGGUUUCCGUAGGUGAACCUGCGGAAGGAUCAUUAACGAGUUAGGGUCUUCUAGGCCCGACCUCCCAACCCUAUGUUUAUUGAACCUCUGUUGCUUCGGCGGACCCGCCUCACGGCCGCCGGAGGACCGCUGCAAGGCGUCCUCUGGCCAGCGUCCGCCGAUGGCCAACCACUUAAACUCUGAAUGAAUCGUGUCAUAUGUCUAAGUCUAUGAUUAAAUUAAAGCAAAACUUUCAACAACGGAUCUCUUGGUUCUG